AUUGAACGCUGGCGGCAGGCCUAACACAUGCAAGUCGAACGAGCGGCGGACGGGUGAGAAAUGUAUGGGGACUCCCCGAUAGAGGGGGGUAAAAACUGGAAACGGUAGCUAAAACCCCAUACUCCCGGAUAGUCCAUAGGGGAUUAGAUAUGAGGGGAGGUAAUGGCUCACAUAGGCGACGAUCCCUAGCUGGUCUGAGAGGAUGAUCAGCCACACUGGAACUGAGACACGGCCCAGACUCCUACGGAGGCAGCAGUGGGGAAUAUUGCACAAUGGGCGCAAGCCGGAUGCAGCCAUGCCGCGUGUAUGAAGAAGUCCCUAGGGUUGUAAAGUACUUUCAGUCGGGAGGCGUUACCGACAGAAGAAGCACCGGCUAACUCCGUGCCAGCAGCCGCGGUAAUUC
rnacentral:rRNA from 1 species